rnacentral:rRNA from 1 species
AGAGUUUGAUCCUGGCUCAGAUUGAACGCUGGCGGCAGGCCUAACACAUGCAAGUCGAACGGUAACAGGAAGAAGCUUGCUUCUUGCUGACGAGUGGCGGACGGGUGAGUAAUGUCUGGGAAACUGCCUGAUGAGGGGGAUAACUACUGGAAACGGUAGCUAAUACCGCAUAACGUCGCAAGACCAAAGAGGGGGGACCUUCGGGCCUCUUGCCAUCGGAUGUGCCCAGAUGGGAUUAGCUAGUAGGUGGGGUAACGGCUCACCUAGGCGACGAUCCCUAGCUGGUCUGAGAGGAUGACCAGCCACACUGGAACUGAGACACGGUCCAGACUCCUACGGGAGGCAGCAGUGGGGAAUAUUGCACAAUGGGCGCAAGCCUGAUGCAGCCAUGCCGCGUGUAUGAAGAAGGCCUUCGGGUUGUAAAGUACUUUCAGCGGGGAGGAAGGGAGUAAAGUUAAUACCUUUGCUCAUUGACGUUACCCGCAGAAAAAGCACCGGCUAACUCCGUG